AUGAAGAGACGCUGGGGAGGUCUGCUGGGGCUCCUGUGGGUCCAUGUUUGCUGGGUGAGAGGGAUGGAGGUGGAGCAGAGACGUUCAGCCCUGAGCGUCCAGGAGGGAGCCAGCUCUACUCUGAAGUGCAAUUUUUCCCAAACUGCGAGCAACCUGCAGUGGUUCCGACAGAAUCCCGGGGGCGGCCUCACCUCACUGUUUUACAUAGCCUCGGGGAUGAAGCAGAGUGGAAGGUUAAACUGCACAGUGAAUGCUAAGGAACGGUCCAGCACCCUCCACAUCACGGCCUCCCAACUGGAAGACUCAGCCACCUACCUGUGUGCGGUGGAGGCACAGUGCUCCCUGGUGAUCUGCAGCCUGCACCCAAACUGCAGCUGGGCCUGCAGCCCCAGCCCUUCCACCAGGAGGCCUUGCAGAGCAGAGCACAUUAUUCAUUUUAUACAGGAGAAAAGAGGAUUGGACCAGCUAGUUUACCAGCUGGGGACCCGACCACAAGAUGGCGAAGCAUCUCUGCUGAUGCAGAUUAUGCGAAAGGGUCCUUUUGGUUGA